CUACCAUUGAAAGUGAACGAAAAAUCAAUGGGUCGAAAGGGAGCACGAAGGUUCGUCGCUCGACUCGCAAUCGGUGGUGGCCUCCGGGGUUCGAAUAGUCUGAAGAAGGAGAAGGAUCGAAGCAGCGAGGCGGCUGUGAUCUCGGACGAGAAGGAAGAGACAAAACAGCGGGGCUGCUCGUCUUCUGUCCUGGAAGUAGUUGCGAAGGGGAAAGAGGUCCGAAGGGGUCUAGGAGGCGUCGCGAGCAACAGCAGCGACGGUGACAGGGUGAUUGGUGGGUUUGCUCGACGGGAGGGGAAGAGGAGGGUGCGAGGGUUCGGUCGUCGGUCUCGGUGGUGCUGCGAUGAGGCUAGUUGAGACCGGUGGUUUCGAGUUUUCAGUCGUAUGGGUGGUGGUGGGGAGUUCGAUCAUGGUUGUUUGUUGAUUCGGGAAAGGCAGCAACUAUCAACACAGGGGAAGAGGGAAGGAUGGGGGUGUUGCUUCCGUUUGGAAAGAUGAAAGAAGAACAUGUGGAAGUUGUUCUUUUUGGUUGCUCACGAACUGAAAAGUUGCAGAUGGAAAUCAAAGGACGGAUAGAGAUAGAAGAAGGGGUAGAGUGUUAGGGAUUUUUGGUUAACUUGUAGUGUUAAUUUUGUUUUUUUGUUUAUUUAUUUAUUUAUUAUUAUUAUUAUUUUUUGCAUUGUACUCCUUAUAAUCAUAUGUAUAAGUAUUCGGAUGUUUUGGAUAAUAAGGUCCAUAUCAUACAUGUAUUUGAGUAUGUAUUUACGUACAUUUUUAAUUGCGUGUGUAUUUUAUGCA